rnacentral:rRNA from 1 species
ACGCAACGCGCAGAACCUUACCUUGGUCUUGUACAUCUCGGGAAUCAUUUGGAAACAUAUGAGUGCCUCGCAAGAGGAGCCCGAUGACAGGUGCUGCAUGGCUGUCGUCAGCUCGCGUCGUGAGAUGUUGGGUUAAGUCCCGCAACGAGCGCAACCCUUGUCUUUAGUUGCCAUCAUUAAGUUGGGCACUCUAAAGAGACUGCCGGUGUCAAACCGGAGGAAGGUGGGGAUGACGUCAAGUCCUCAUGGCCUUUAUGACCAGGGCUACACACGUACUACAAUGGCAGGUACAAAGGGCAGCCACUUAGCGAUAAGGCGCGAAUCCCAUAAAACCUGUCUCAGUCCGGAUUGGAGUCUGCAACUCGACUCCAUGAAGUUGGAAUCGCUAGUAAUCGCAGAUCAGCACGCUGCGGUGAAUACGUUCCCGGGCCUU